CCAGCGUCUACGCGGUCAGGAAGAUCCGGGAAUCCAUUGCUACGGGAGAGCAAUCGGAGAAACCCAUCUUUACACCAUGUAGUGCUGAAGCUGAAGGACAUGGGUCCAAGGGCAACUCACAGGCAGCACUUGCAGCCUCUGAGCUUGAUGGCCCUGAAGAACCGGACCCCAGGAUAUCUUCAGGGAACGCAGUGCAAAAGCUUGGCUCCUGACAUUAAACAUCUGACUAAAUAACAUUUAAAACGUAAACAUUGUAAUUUUCCAAAACGCAAGAUGCAGUCUAUCAAGUAUCAAUAAUGUGAGCCAUGACCAGUCAGUACGAGUUGUUUACUGUCUUGCCUGCACCAGUGUUUGAUGGCCUCCUCGUCAACCCCUCCCACGAGGGGCUGGGCAAGCCGGAUGUUUUUGCUGCAGAUUUAUUUAAUCAACACAGGUGACCUAAAAUACCAAAAAUAAAAAUGAAAACAGAAAAUAUAGUGUGGUAUAUUUUUGGUUGUGUAAUUAAUUGUGACGGAAAUUGAGAAUAUAAUUGUUUGACAAAAAGCUUUCAAACCUGUAACACAGCUAUUGACAAACAAACAACAAAAGAAACAUUCACAUUCAAGCAAGGAGAGUUUGAAAUGACAGCAACAUUAUUCCUUGCUGUGCUUGGACUUUGUACGUCCACAAAGAACGUCAGUUUCCGGAGUUCACCGGAUGUUGAAUUAAAACAGGAAAGGCAUGAACGAUAUAAUACCGACACGACGAUAAGCGUGCCUUUAUUAUGAUUGGAUGAAUCUGCUGGAAGCUAUUAUCAGACACCUCUACGCUGUUCUAAACAUUAAUUGGAGCUCUUCUGUAAUUUAAAACAUUGCACGGCUAUUGGCGUUCUCUGGCAUUGUCUUCCCAUCCCCGGAGCAUGAUGGAGCACAGAAAAGCCUUAACUAUAUCUCUGACGGUUGACAAGGACACCUCGAUGGGGAAUCCGCUCAAGCUCCCCAAGUCACGGAGCUCUCCAGAGCGUGUGAAGUUAUCGGGCCAUAUAAAUGGUACCAACGUCGUGGAAUACAAGGUCAGAUACCCUGACACUCAACACAAAAAGGGGACCACGCUGUUUGAACACAACCAGAGGAUUAUUGUCCGAUUGGGAUUAGCCAGCAAGAGCCCCUGCCUGAUCCUCAGAGACGUGCUGCGGACGGAGGCGGGCCGGGCCUUCCUGGGAAGGCGGAGGUGCAGCCAGCUCACGGCGAACGGCACGCAGACGUCGCCGAAUACCAACGGCCAGACACCGCCCUCCUCGGGUCGCAGGGGGUCGAGGUCGGAGGAGGUGGAGAAGGGAAAGAGGAGAGCCCUCGCUCCUCAGUCCCCGGCCUCCAAUUUGAAGACGCGGGUCGGGGCCUCUCCAAGGGUCCCCGACCACCACAUCACCCCCAGGAGGCCACAGGAGAAGGCCAGCCAGAGGAGAGAGGCAACAGGAGUCAGGGAGCCCCCGAUAAGACCAGACGGCAGAUAUCCAGAAGGAAGAGCCCUUAUAACCGCGUGGGCCCCCCACUGCGUCCCCGGCGGGGGGCCGUACGUCAACCCCUGGACCGGCAGUCGGGGAGGCCUUCCUCGAGGCAGAUGGACGAACCCGGAAUCGAACGGGCGACAGAUCCUAGUGGGUGUUAAGCAAAUGCGUUGCAUGGUUGUUUAAAUGUGUGUUUCGUUUCAAUGUGUUCAUCUCAAUCGCUCGGCGCGAGGAGGAAGCGACCGCAACGUAGACCGAAGCAGAGUGGACAUCUUGUUGGGUAUACGUUUCUAAACGAAGGAUGUGUAUACAAAAGAGGGCCGUCUCUUGCGUUCACUCUCCACAUCCGUCCUGCACUUGAAUGCAUCUCAGUUGCCUCUGUCGUCUGAAAUAUGUAACUCCUCGCUGUGACAACCCAAAUUCCCCGUGUUGGAUUCAUGAAGUACAUCUCGCCUUCAGCUGAAGAGGCAGAGCCACGCGCCGGGCGGGCACCGCAACGGAGCGCCCGCGGCCGCCAGCGACCUCCCACGGAGCUUUUUCCGGCACCCCGGCGAUGGAAAGGCAGACGGAGAACCCCAAAACAAACGGCCGUUCCUCAUCCGGGGCAGAAGCCAUCCCAGCCAAUCAGAGAGCCCGGCCCGCGGGCCGGUGCGAAUCACCCUGGACAGACGGGCGUUGUCUGGGAGAGAGUGCGUGAGGCCGAGCGUUUCUCCAUCGGGGGCCGGGAAGUCGACCGCAUCCCCUGGACUGAACAAGGACGACAGCGGCGCCUCUGAUCCCAGUGAGUAGAGAGCCAGAUAGUUCACUCAUGUUCAGUGGAAAACACUUCUGUCCACCUAUCUGUCAUGGCGAACGUGCUCUGUGUGUGUGGGUGAUGGUGCAAGCCAGGCUUUGUUUUGCUGUGUGCACAUGCAUCCAACUGCCUCAUGACUAUAACAGCACUCUAACUCUAGCCUAACAGCUGUCGUGCUUCCUGUUUUGAGCUCAUGUGGUUCUUUGGGGAUUGCUACUUUCCUUUGCCUGCCUUCUAAUGUCAUUAGACCUGUCACGUCAGUGUGUCUUCAUACCUGCAAGAAUCCAGCGGUUUGACAAAGUAAAAGCCCCGGGCUGGCCGGGAAUCACUCGUUAGCUGCACAUCUUGUUUGUGUUGCUAAGAUCAUUACAAUGACCUACUCAAACCCCAAGGCUUUCUGAACCUGGGAGUUCUACCUGUGUGUGUGUGUGUGUGUGUGUGUGUGUGUGUGUGUGUGUGUGUGUGUGUGUGUGUUGACAAACUUGUAACUCUUUUGCCU
rnacentral:lncRNA from 1 species